AUAUUACGCAAUAUGGGACUCAGUGUUGGAAUUUAGGAAAUCUUAAUCACCGCUGUAGAUCGGCUGCAUUUUGUGACUGACCUAAAGCUGUUCCGAGCGUGUAUAACGGAGCUCCACCUGCACCCAUGAUGAGUUGCGCUACUAGAAACACGUACUUGAACU